rnacentral:ribozyme from 1 species
AUUUUUCUUAUUUUUUUUAAUUUUUUUAUUUUUUUUUUUUUUUU